rnacentral:rRNA from 1 species
CAGCAGCCGCGGGAAUACAGAGGGUGCGAGCGUUAAUCGGAUUUACUGGGCGUAAAGCGUGCGUAGGCGGCUUCUUAAGUCGGAUGUGAAAUCCCUGAGCUUAACUUAGGAAUUGCAUUCGAUACUGGGAAGCUAGAGUAUGGGAGAGGAUGGUAGAAUUCCAGGUGUAGCGGUGAAAUGCGUAGAGAUCUGGAGGAAUACCGAUGGCGAAGGCAGCCAUCUGGCCUAACACUGACGCUGAGGUACGAAAGCAUGGGGAGCAAACAGGAUUAGAUACCCCGGUAGUCCCUGUCUCUUAUAC